GUCGAGCGGACAGAUGGAGAGCUUGCUCCCUGAUGUUAGCGGCGGACGGGUGAGUAACACGUGGGUAACCUGCCUGUAAGACUGGGAUAACUCCGGGAAACCGGGGCUAAUACCGGAUGCUUGUUUGAACCGCAUGGUUCAAACAUAAAAGGUGGCUUCGGCUACCACUUACAGAUGGACCCGCGGCGCAUUAGCUAGUUGGUGAGGUAAUGGCUCACCAAGGCAACGAUGCGUAGCCGACCUGAGAGGGUGAUCGGCCACACUGGGACUGAGACACGGCCCAGACUCCUACGGGAGGCAGCAGUAGGGAAUCUUCCGCAAUGGACGAAAGUCUGACGGAGCAACGCCGCGUGAGUGAUGAAGGUUUUCGGAUCGUAAAGCUCUGUUGUUAGGGAAGAACAAGUGCCGUUCAAAUAGGGCGGCACCUUGACGGUACCUAACCAGAAAGCCACGGCUAACUACGUGCCAGCAGCCGCGGUAAUACGUAGGUGGCAAGCGUUGUCCGGAAUUAUUGGGCGUAAAGGGCUCGCAGGCGGUUUCUUAAGUCUGAUGUGAAAGCCCCCGGCUCAACCGGGGAGGGUCAUUGGAAACUGGGGAACUUGAGUGCAGAAGAGGAGAGUGGAAUUCCACGUGUAGCGGUGAAAUGCGUAGAGAUGUGGAGGAACACCAGUGGCGAAGGCGACUCUCUGGUCUGUAACUGACGCUGAGGAGCGAAAGCGUGGGGAGCGAACAGGAUUAGAUACCCUGGUAGUCCACGCCGUAAACGAUGAGUGCUAAGUGUUAGGGGGUUUCCGCCCCUUAGUGCUGCAGCUAACGCAUUAAGCACUCCGCCUGGGGAGUACGGUCGCAAGACUGAAACUCAAAGGAUUUGAC
rnacentral:rRNA from 1 species